rnacentral:rRNA from 1 species
UACGAAGGGGGCUAGCGUUGCUCGGAAUUACUGGGCGUAAAGGGCGCGUAGGCGGAUAGUUUAGUGAGAGGUGAAAGCCCAGGGCUCAACCUUGGAACUGCCUUUCAUACUGGCUAUCUUGAGUACGGGAGAGGUGAGUGGAACUCCGAGUGUAGAGGUGAAAUUCGUAGAUAUUCGGAAGAACACCAGUGGCGAAGGCGACUCACUGGCCCGUUACUGACGCUGAGGCGCGAAAGCGUGGGGAGCGAACAGG